GGUUAAGCGACUAAGCGUACACGGUGGAUGCCCUGGCAGUCAGAGGCGAUGAAGGGCGUGCUAAUCUGCGAUAAGCGCCGGUAAGGUGAUAUGAACCGUUAUAACCGGCGAUACCCGAAUGGGGAAACCCAGUGUGAUUCGUCACACUAUCAUUAACUGAAUCCAUAGGUUAAUGAGGCGAACCGGGGGAACUGAAACAUCUAAGUACCCCGAGGAAAAGAAAUCAACCGAGAUUCCCCCAGUAGCGGCGAGCGAACGGGGAGGAGCCCAGAGCCUGAAUCAGCAUGUGUGUUAGUGGAAGCGUCUGGAAAGGCGCGCGAUACAGGGUGACAGCCCCGUACACAAAAGCGCAUAUGCUGUGAGCUCGAUGAGUAGGGCGGGACACGUGGUAUCCUGUCUGAAUAUGGGGGGACCAUCCUCCAAGGCUAAAUACUCCUGACUGACCGAUAGUGAACCAGUACCGUGAGGGAAAGGCGAAAAGAACCCCG
rnacentral:rRNA from 1 species